UACGUAGGGGGCAAGCGUUGUCCGGAAUCAUUGGGCGUAAAGCGCGCGUAGGCGGCCCUGUAAGUCCGUUGUGAAAGUCAAAGGCUCAACCUUUGAAAGCCGAUGGAUACUGCAGGGCUAGAGUCCGGAAGAGGAGAGUGGAAUUCCCGGUGUAGCGGUGAAAUGCGCAGAUAUCGGGAAGAACACCCGUGGCGAAGGCGGCUCUCUGGGACGGUACUGACGCUGAGACGCGAAAGCGUGGGGAGCGAACAGG
rnacentral:rRNA from 1 species